UGUUUGAGGAGUAGACUCUUUGCUCUGUAGAGCUCCCCAUAUUCUGGAUCUGUUUGCAUCCUCUAGGUAUUCCCUUCAAGAGAAUUGCAGCUGAGUCUGAUUGUACCUCUAGAGCUGAACAUUAUGGGAGUACUUGUUAUCUUUUAAACUUUCUCAUAGUUGCCACUUAGAGUCUUAGUGAAUUUUGAACAGAGCCUUGGCUGGUAUGUGGCAUUACAGUUAGCAGGAAUAAGCAGAAGUGAAGUGACCUUGGAAAGCUCCACUUGGCCCGUAAGCGCUAACACUGUCAGGAGACUCUACUUUUGUUUCUUGGCUAUUAGAUGGGACCUGUCAUGGGAAUGUUGAGGUUGUGGAAAUGUAUCUUGCUUUUUCACACCACCUUUCUCUUUCUUUCAGGAUUUUCUUACUGGAGUGCAAUGUGAGAGAAGUACGAGUUGCUGUGGCCACCAUUCUGGAGAAAACCCUAGACAGUGCCUUGUUUUAUCAGGAUAAGCUUUCCAUGAGGCGUCAGCGGGCUCUCAAUUAAAAAGCCUUCAUCAGUUACUGGAGGUACUACUUGCUCUGUUGG
rnacentral:sRNA from 1 species